GCAGCCGCGGUAAUACGGAAGGUCCGGGCGUUAUCCGGAUUUAUUGGGUUUAAAGGGAGCGCAGGCGGAGGAUCAAGCCAGCCGUGAAAUGGCGGCGCUCAACGCCGUCCGGCGGUUGGAACUGGUCCCCUUGAUUGCGGGAGAGGAAGGCGGAACUCGUGGUGUAGCGGUGAAAUGCAUAGAUAUCACGAAGAACCCCGAUUGCGAAGGCAGCCUUCCGGCCCGUAAAUGACGCUCAUGCUCGAAGGCGCGGGUAUCAAACAGGAUUAGAUACCCC
rnacentral:rRNA from 1 species